AGAAUCAACGCUGGCGGCGUGCCUAACACAUGCAAGUCGAACGAGAAAGUGGAGCAAUCCAUUAGUAAAGUGGCGCACGGGUGAGUAACACGUGACUAACCUACCCUUGAGUGGGGGAUAACCUAGAGAAAUCUGGGCUAAGACCGCAUAAUACCUUCGGGUCAAAGGAGCAAUUCGCUUAAGGAGGGGGUCGCGGCCGAUUAGUUAGUUGGCGGGGUAAUGGCCCACCAAGACUAUGAUCGGUA
rnacentral:rRNA from 1 species